GGUCUUCACCAUGAUAACUGUGGAGUAAGAAUUAUCAGCAGUUCGCAGAUUAUGGACUUGAGACUGACAGUUUGGCUUCCCUGUUCCAGGUGGCAAAGCCUGUGGGGUAUUCACCUACCUGCUGCAUGAAGGCAGCAUGGAGGGACUGUGGUGGAUUAUCUGCAAAGAUGGCCCAAAUUCUCUCAUCCCUGCAGGUACAUACAAGAACUGAAGCUCAGCUAUUCACCCUACAGAAAGCCUGAAUUUUGUAAAUGUUCUGCUUAGAAUGAGGAAGAAAGAUGAAGAAUGAGGAGGAAGAAGGGAGGAACAAGAGAGAGAGGUAAAGCCAACAAGCAGAACAGACCUACAUUUGCAGCAUCUCCAAGUUUCUGCAACAGCUUUAUGUUGUUGUUAUGUUUUGUUUUAAUAAAAGCACAUACCAUUUU
rnacentral:lncRNA from 1 species